GGGCGGUUAGCUCAGUUGGUUAGAGCGCUGCUUUCACACGGCAGAGGUCAUGAGUUCGAGUCUCGUACCGCCCACCA
rnacentral:tRNA from 1 species